rnacentral:rRNA from 1 species
UAACACGUGGGCAAUCUGCCCUUCACUCUGGGACAAGCCCUGGAAACGGGGUCUAAUACCGGAUACGAGUUUCACAGGCAUCUGUGAUUCUGGAAAGCUCCGGCGGUGAAGGAUGAGCCCGCGGCCUAUCAGCUUGUUGGUGAGGUAAUGGCUCACCAAGGCGACGACGGGUAGCCGGCCUGAGAGGGCGACCGGCCACACUGGGACUGAGACACGGCCCAGACUCCUACGGGAGGCAGCAGUGGGGAAUAUUGCACAAUGGGCGAAAGCCUGAUGCAGCGACGCCGCGUGAGGGAUGACGGCCUUCGGGUUGUAAACCUCUUUCAGCAGGGAAGAAGCGAAAGUGACGGUACCUGCAGAAGAAGCGCCGGCUAACUACGUGCCAGCAGCCGCGGUAAUACGUAGGGCGCAAGCGUUGUCCGGAAUUAUUGGGCGUAAAGAGCUCGUAGGCGGCUUGUCACGUCGGGUGUGAAAGCCCGGGGCUUAACCCCGGGUCUGCAUUCGAUACGGGCUAGCUAGAGUGUGGUAGGGGAGAUCGGAAUUCCUGGUGUAGCGGUGAAAUGCGCAGAUAUCAGGAGGAACACCGGUGGCGAAGGCGGAUCUCUGGGCCAUUACUGACGCUGAGGAGCGAAAGCGUGGGGAGCGAACAGGAUUAGAUACCCUGGUAGUCCACGCCGUAAACGGUGGG